UACGUAGGGUGCAAGCGUUGUCCGGAAUUAUUGGGCGUAAAGAGCUCGUAGGCGGUUUGUCGCGUCUGCUGUGAAAGUCCGAGGCUCAACCUCGGAUCUGCAGUGGGUACGGGCAGACUAGAGUGCGGUAGGGGUGACUGGAAUUCCUGGUGUAGCGGUGGAAUGCGCAGAUAUCAGGAAGAACACCCGUGGCGAAGGCGGCUCUCUGGGACGGUACUGACGCUGAGACGCGAAAGCGUGGGGAGCGAACAGG
rnacentral:rRNA from 1 species